rnacentral:rRNA from 1 species
GUGGGUAGUUUGACUGGGGCGGUCUCCUCCUAAAGAGUAACGGAGGAGCACGAAGGUUGGCUAAUCCUGGUCGGACAUCAGGAGGUUAGUGCAAUGGCAUAAGCCAGCUUGACUGCGAGCGUGACGGCGCGAGCAGGUGCGAAAGCAGGUCAUAGUGAUCCGGUGGUUCUGAAUGGAAGGGCCAUCGCUCAACGGAUAAAAGGUACUCCGGGGAUAACAGGCUGAUACCGCCCAAGAGUUCAUAUCGACGGCGGUGUUUGGCACCUCGAUGUCGGCUCAUCACAUCCUGGGGCUGAAGUAGGUCCCAAGGGUAUGGCUGUUCGCCAUUUAAAGUGGUACGCGAGCUGGGUUUAGAACGUCGUGAGACAGUUCGGUCCCUAUCUGCCGUGGGCGCUGGAGAACUGAGGGGGGCUGCUCCUAGUACGAGAGGACCGGAGUGGACGCAUCACUGGUGUUCGGGUUGUCAUGCCAAUGGCACUGCCCGGUAGCUAAAUGCGGAAGAGAUAAGUGCUGAAAGCAUCUAAGCACGAAACUUGCCCCGAGAUGAGUUCUCCCUGAGACUUAAAGUCUCCUGAAGGAACGUUGAAGACGACGACGUUGAUAGGCCGGGUGUGUAAGCGCAGCGAUGCGUUGAGCUAACCGGUACUAAUGAACCGUGAGGCUUAACCUUACAACGCCG